rnacentral:rRNA from 1 species
UCGCAAUCUUCUUUGUCGAUUUGAACUCUUAAAAAAAAUUACGCUGUUAUCCCUAAGGUAACUUCUUCUUUUAAUCUAAAAAAUAGGAUCAAAAUUUCAUAAAUUUAUGAUUUUUAUAAAGAAAAGUUUAUCUAAUUUUCCUGUCACCCCAACCAAAUAAAUUAUCCUAUGAAAUAAAUAUAUUCCAAUAAACUACAAAAAAUAAUUUAUAAAGCUCUAUAGGGUCUUCUUGUCUUCUAUGGAAAUUUAAGCUUUUUCACUUAAAAAUAAAAUUCUAAUAAAUUUUAAUUGAGACAGAAUCUUCCUCAUUUAUCCUUUCAUUCCAGCUUCUAAUUAAGAAACUAAUUAUUAUGCUACCUUUGCACGGUCAAAUUACCGCGGCCAUUUAAAAAUUUCAUAGGGCAGGACUGACCUGAAAUUAUAUUCAACAANNCC